rnacentral:lncRNA from 1 species
CUGAAUCUUCAACAUGGUGUUUCCCAAGUCUUGUCUGAACCGCAGAAGGGGUGACAAAGAAGUUUGAACCUAACCAAGGCAACAACUUGAAACUGGGGGCAUGAAAGCAUUGCAUCAUCUCUGGCACAUUGAGGAAAAGUAAUCCUAAGACAUUGGCAGUGUUUAAUUGCUCUUGUGAUGAUUCACGUCCUUCAAUAUUGACUGCAAGCCAUACAGGACGUACACAUCUAAAGGGACUUUUUGACCUACUCUAGAACAACAUAUGGAAACCUCCUCUGAAAACCAACAGCCAAGACUGCAUCAAUAAAAGGUAUCUCAUUAGGUAUUACUGAAAAUAU